rnacentral:rRNA from 1 species
GACGAACGCUGGCGGCGUGCUUAAUACAUGCAAGUAGAACGCAGAUGCGAAAGGAUGAGUAACGCGUAGGUAAUUGCCUGGUAGCGGGGGAUAAGAAAUGGAAACGAUAGACAAAACCGCAUACUACCCGAUGGAACUGCGUUGUAUUAGAUAGUUGGUGAGGUAACGGCUCACCAAGGCAACGAUACAUAGCCGACCUGAGAGGGUGAUCGGCCACACUGGGACUGAGACACUGCCCAGACUCCUACGGGAGGCAGCAGUAGGGAAUCUUCGGCAAUGGGGGGAACCCUGACCGAGCAACGCCGCGUGAGUGAAGACGGUUUUCGGAUCGUAAAGCUCUGUUGUUAGGGACGCGGUACUUAACCAGAAAGGGACGGCUAACUACGUGCCAGCAGCCGCGGUAAUAC